AAUUCAAUAGUUUAAAUAAAAUAUUAAAUUGCAAAUUUAAAGAUAAUUUUUGUUUUGGAUUU
rnacentral:tRNA from 1 species